rnacentral:lncRNA from 1 species
GAAAAUGACAAGCUUUAAAAAAUGAUGUAAUAGUUUACAUAGUAUUUACAUAGUAAACUAUUACAUCAUUUUUUAAACCUUAAACUUCAUUAAACUUUAAAAUUCAUUAUUUUAACUUUAAACUAAACUUUAGAAUUCAUUAUUUUCUCCAGAAAAAGUGAUGGAAACAAUUUUGAUAAAUUAGUAAACUUAACUGUUGUAGAGAAUUAUACAUUUAUUCAAAUAAUCCUGGUUGACAAAUCUCAAACAUAAAAUAUUUAUAUCUGUAAGACUUAGAAAUGUGAUAGUGGAGAAACCCAAAACAAUGGUAUUCAUGAUGGGAAGAUAAUUCUAGGAGAGUUAUAAUAUGGAGUAUGAAAACAAUUAUAGGAAUGAGCUCUGAGGUUAUUUAGUCUGGUCCCCUCAUGUACUGAUAACUAAGAAAUAAGAGUAGACUACAUUAACUGAAGAGUUCUAGGUACAUCCCCAAAACUAACCCCAAACCCAGUGUCUUAGUCCAUUUGCAUUGCUAUAAAGGAAUACCUGAGGCUGGGUAAUUUAUAACAAAAAGAGGUUUAUUUGGAACAUAGUUCUGCAGGCUGUACAAGAAGUAUAGCACUCUAUUCUGCUUCUAGCAGGGACUUCAGGAAGCUUCCAGUCAUGGCAGAAGGGGGAAGGGGAGCUGGUAUGUAAAGAUCACAUGGCAGGAAGUGAGAGAUAGAGAGAGAGAAAGAGUGAGAAAGAGAGAGAAAUAGGCAGGGGAGAAGGGAGGCACUGAAUAGGAUGCCAGACUCUUUUUGACAACCAGAUCUCCCCAAAACUAAGAGCAAGAACUCAAUCCCAUACGAAUGGCACCAAGCCAUUCAUGAGGGAUCCGCCCCUAAGACCCAAACACCUCCCACUAGACCCCAUCUCCAACACUGGGGAUCAAAUUUCAAAAUGAGAUUUGGAGAGGACAAAUAUCCAAGCUAUAUUACCUAGUAUUCCUCAGGUCACAAAAACAUUUUUUGUUUUUCUUCUAAGAGCCAAACUAGGACACGAACUAGGAAGUUUCUUCUCUCAUUACUCUCCAAAGACAUACCCACCCAGUGUAAGUCAAGAAAAACCAACCAACUAAAUUAAAACAUGCAGAGCUAAGGUGAAGGGAAGACUAAAGAAGGGACCGAGGAGAUAAAUUUUUGUGAUAUUUAGAACCAUUCCAUUUUGUGGGGGAGGGGUAGUUUUAUUUUGUUUUAACUAUUACUCAUCCUAGAAAAUUCCUGCUUUGAGAAUGGGGAUAUAAUUUCUAUAAAGCUCAGUAACCAAAUGGCAGAAAGGCUAGCAUUCUAUCAGGGCCUCAAUAGCCCAUACAUGCGGGCAUUAGAGAAGGCGCCCUCUCCUUCAUUAAGCAGGUGCAGAGCUUGAUAAGGGGAGCUUGACUAGAUUUCAGCCCUCUUCAUUCCCUUCACUAGGGGCCUUUGUGCAAGGCACACAGUGCAUAAAUGUACAUAGUAGCACUAUUUUCUGGAGUAGAAAAAUCUUGGGAUUUCCCAAAGCUGUUCACCCCAACUCAGAACUGGAACACCAUGUGUAAAGUCAGGAAAAUUCAUUCUGCCAGAAGCUUUUUUUCAUUACUGACAUCCUAGACUGUUGGUACAAUAAUCUUAAUCAUCUGACCUUUUAGAGGCAAUUUCCUGAUCUUGGCUGGACAGACCAGUCUAAAUGCUCCAUUUGGCCCUAUUUUUAAAUUGCCCAGAUGGUGUGACUGGGUGUGUGGCUUAGGGUGCCCCCAUAUGCUGGGCUGCUUCCAGGAACGAUUUGUACCUUGGGUAUAACAAGACUGGAGUGAGGAAUGGGGGCAAGGGAUGGUAAGGGUUAGGUCGGUGCCUUUCUGAUCUGAGUAAUACUGAUUUCAUCAGCUACUUGUGAAAUGCUGAGCCUUAAUGUAGAUUCAUGAGAUAGGUAGAAAGUAGGAGGCCAAUUCUGAGACAGCUGCUUCUGAUCUCUACCCACCCAGAGUUGGAUUUGGAUGUACUACAUAGGGAAGAAUUAGCAGGGAAGUCAAGCCUGUUCAUCACAUUGGACACAGACCAUUUUCUGCCCCCUUCCUUCUGUGCAUUUGUUUCCUGGCCGGGCGCGGUGGCUCAUGCCUAUAAUCCCAGCAC